UACGGAGGGUGCAAGCGUUAAUCGGAAUUACUGGGCGUAAAGGGUGCGUAGGUGGUUUAUUAAGUUAGGUGUAAAAUUCCUGGGCUUAACCUGGGCUUGAGACUUAAAACUGAUAGACUGGAGUAUAGGAGAGGGUAGUGGAAUUUCCGGUGUAGCGGUGAAAUGCGUAGAGAUCGGAAGGAACACCAGUGGCGAAGGCGGCUACCUGGCCAGAUACUGACACUGAAGCACGAAAGCGUGGGGAGCAAACAGG
rnacentral:rRNA from 2 species